UACGUAGGGUGCGAGCGUUAAUCGGAAUUACUGGGCGUAAAGCGCACGUAGGCGGAUUGUUAAGUCAGGGGUGAAAUCCUGGAGCUCAACUCCAGAACUGCCUUUGAUACUGGCGAUCUUGAGUCCGGGAGAGGUGAGUGGAACUCCGAGUGUAGAGGUGAAAUUCGUAGAUAUUACGGAAGAACACCAGUGGCGAAGGCGGCUCACUGGCCCGGUACUGACGCUGAUGUGCGAAACG
rnacentral:rRNA from 1 species